rnacentral:tRNA from 1 species
CCAGCUUAGAGUGGCGUCUUCGCCUGACUGUGGAUCAGGAGGUCGGUGGUUCGAGUCCACCCAGCUGUA